rnacentral:rRNA from 1 species
UACGAAGGGGGCAAGCGUUGUUCGGAAUUACUGGGCGUAAAGGGCGCGUAGGCGGCCGAUCAAGUCAGGCGUGAAAUUCCCGGGCUCAACCUGGGGGCUGCGCUUGAUACUGAUUGGCUUGAAUGCGGGAGAGGAUAGUGGAAUUCCCAGUGUAGAGGUGAAAUUCGUAGAUAUUGGGAAGAACACCGGUGGCGAAGGCGGCUAUCUGGCCCGUAACUGACGCUGAGGAGCGAAAGCGUGGGGAGCGAACAGG